rnacentral:rRNA from 1 species
GACGAACGCUGGCGGCGUGCCUAAUACAUGCAAGUCGAACGCAGUGGGGACGGGUGAGUAACACGUGGGUAACCUCCCAUCAGAGGGGAUAACACUUGGAAACAGGUGCUAAACCGAUACUGAUGGAUGGACCCGCGGUGCAUUAGCUAGUUGAUGAGGUAACGGCUCACCAAGGCCACGUGGCAUAGCGGACCGGGGAGAGUGAUCGGCCACGCGUGGACUGAGACACGGCCCAGGCUCCUACGGGAGGCAGCAGUAGGUAAUCUGCGGCAAUGGGCGAAAGUCUGACCGAGCAACGCCGCGUGAGUGAAGAAGGUUUUCGGAUCGUAAAACUCUGUUGUUAGAGAAGCGGUAUCUAACCAGAAAGCCACGGCUAACUACGUGCCAGCAGCCGCGGUAAUAC